UACGUAGGGUGCGAGCGUUAAUCGGAAUUACUGGGCGUAAAGCGUGCGCAGGCGGUUUUGUAAGACAGAUGUGAAAUGCCCGGGCUUAACCUGGGAACUGCAUUUGUGACUGCAAGGCUAGAAUCUGGCAGAGGGGGGUAGAAUUCCACGUGUAGCAGUGAAAUGCGUAGAUAUGUGGAGGAAUACUGAUGGCGAAGGCAGCCCCCUGGGCUAAGAUUGACGCUCAUGCACGAAAGCGUGGGGAGCAAACAGG
rnacentral:rRNA from 1 species